UCCUUGGUGGUCCAAUGGCUAAGGCUGCAUUCCCAAUGCAGGAGGUCCGGGUUUGAUUCCUGGUCAGGGAA
rnacentral:tRNA from 1 species